rnacentral:rRNA from 1 species
AUUGAACGCUGGCGGCAGGCCUAACACAUGCAAGUCGAACGAGUGGCGGACGGGUGAGUAAUGUCUGGGAAACUGCCCGAUGGAGGGGGAUAACUACUGGAAACGGUAGCUAAUACCGCAUACCAUCGGAUGUGCCCAGAUGGGAUUAGCUAGUAGGUGGGGUAACGGCUCACCUAGGCGACGAUCCCUAGCUGGUCUGAGAGGAGGACCAGCCACACUGGAACUGAGACACGGUCCAGACUCCUACGGGAGUAAGCAGUGGGUAAUAUUGCACAAUGGGCUCAAGCCUGAGGCAGCCAUGCCGCGUGUAUGAAGAAGGCCUUCGGGUUGUAAAGUACUUUCAGCGGGGAGGCGUUACUCGAAGAAGAAGCACCGGCUAACUCCGUGCCAGCAGCCGCGGUAAUUG